AUUGAACGCUGGCGGCAGGCCUAACACAUGCAAGUCGAGCGGAUGAACGGAGCUUGCUCCUGGAUUCCGCGGCGGACGGGUGAGUAAUGCCUAGGAAUCUGCCUGGUAGUGGGGGAUAACGUCCGGAAACGGGCGCUAAUACCGCAUACGUCCUGAUGGUGAAAGUGGGGGAUCUUCGGACCUCACGCUAUCUGAUGAGCCUAGUUCGGAUUAGCUAGUUGGUUUGGUAAAGGCCUACCAAGGCGACGAUCCGUAACUGGUCUGAGAGGAUGAUCAGUCACACUGGAACUGAGACACGGUCCAGACUCCUACGGGAGGCAGCAGUGGGGAAUAUUAGGCAAUGGGCGAAAGCCUGAUGCAGCCAUGCCGCGUGUGUGAAGAAGGUCUUCGGAUUGUAAAGCACUGUAAGUUGGGAGGAAGAGCAGUAAGUUAAUACCUGGCUGUUUUGACGUUACCAACAGAAUAAGCACCGGCUAACUACGUG
rnacentral:rRNA from 1 species